rnacentral:lncRNA from 1 species
UUGUUGUUCCCGUACUGUAACGUGUGGUCAAGUUUUCUUGGAUCAGCUCUAUAGCAUUUAGUGAUUUCAAUUUGUUGUUCAUCACGUUCAGCUAACAAAUUAUGAAAGCGGAGCUUAUAAUUAUCCCCGCUCCGGGGGCUGGUCAUCUGCUAUCCAUGGUUGAGCUCGCCAAGCUCAUUGUUAGUCGAGAUGCGCGAAUUCAUGUCAGCAUCCUGAUAAUUAGGCUCCCUUUUGAGUCCGGCGUUGAUGGUUUCAACAAAGAUGCUUCUGAAAAUGUAGCCUUUCUAGACGUCCCUGCUCUGGACGACAUCGCCCUGGCAGAGGUCAAGUCCCUGCCACGGAUAUCUUUCCUGGAUUCCUUCAUUGCGAAGCACGGGAGUGCGGUGAGAGAUGUGGUCUCAGCAAUUCUGAAGCGCUCCGAGUGCUCUAAGCUAUGUGGAUUUGUCAUUGAUAUGUUCUGCACCUCGAUGAUAGACGUGGCCAAUGAAUUCAAUGUCCCGGCUUAUGCGUUCUAUACUUCUGGCGCUGCUUUUCUUACGCUCAAAUUUUAUGUCCAAGCUCUCAAAGAUGUGGAAAGCAAGGAUAUAUACAAGUACAAGGAGUUGGAUGUUGAGAGGCUGGCUGUCUCGGGUUUUCUUAAUCCAGUUCCUGUCGAGGUUUUGCCUUCGGUGAUGCUGACAAAGGAUGGGUGUCCUGUGGUCAUUGCUGCAGCCCGAAGAUUACGGGAGACCAAGGCUAUUUUGAUCAACACGGUGUGGGAACUCGAAUCCCAUGCUAUUAAAUCCCUGGUUGAUGAUGCUAAAACCCCUGUUAUAUACCAUGUAGGCCCUGUAAUUAAUUUCAAGAGUGGCGAGGAGCCAUCGAAUGGCAGAACAUCAGGAGAGGAUGUUGUUUCCUGGUUGGACAGGCAGCCACCUAGCUCGGUAGUGUAUUUGUGCUUCGGGAGCAGUGGAAGCUUCGAUGGAGAACAAAUUGGAGAGAUAGCGCGUGCACUGGAGCUCAGUGGACAGCGUUAUUUGUGGUCUCUACGACGCCCGUCUCAAGGAAAGGAUCAAGUGGUAUUGCUACAAGAUUAUGAUGACUACAAUGAGGUGUUGCCCCAGGGGUUUUUAGAGAGGACAUCUGGAAAAGGGAAAAUUAUUGGAUGGGCACCGCAGUUGAGCAUCCUUUCCCAUCCAAGUGUGGGAGGAUUCGUGUCUCAUUGUGGAUGGAACUCUAUAUUAGAAAGUAUAUGGUGCGGUGUGCCAAUAGCCACUUGGCCUAUGUAUGCUGAGCAGCAAGUGAACGCGUUCCAGCUGGUGGUCGACUUGGGGUUAGCAGCCGAGAUUAAGAUGGAUUACAGAAAAGAUAGGGUUGCUGACAUGGAAUCAACGGGAGUAGUGAGUGCAGAAGAGAUAGAAAGGGGCAUAAGACGUGUGAUGGAUGGCGAGAGUGAAAUGAGAAAGAAAAUGAAGGAAUUGAAAGACGCCUGCAGGAAAGCCACUCAACCGGGUGGUUCAUCUUACACUUCACUUGGGGAGUUUAUCCAGGAUGUCACGAAUAGCAUCAGGGAAGGAGCUCUAAACUGAAUGAAUAAUACUUGCAAAGCUUUGAACUCGAGUUAUAACUAAACCACAUAUACAACUUGAGUUUCUGGCAAAUGUGGCACACUGUUUAUCUAGUUAUCCAUAUAUUCUGUAUAUGCUACCAAUGAAUAAGCAUGAGGUGAAUAUGUUUGCUUCAGUUCUUUCGUCCCAUGUCGGAUACUUCACAUGUUUCUAACUAUUCUUGUUGUUUAAAAAUCAAUAAAAGAAGUAAACAGGUAGUGGUUGUGAAAGGUUAGGAUGGAAAACGAAACGGAAUGUAAAACUUUUACUAAUUUUUAGAUUUCGUUGUAGGCUCUUUGGCCACCCAGAGAGUUUGUUUCCAGGUAAUUUUGUGUAAAUUUCAAACAUAGGUGCUCGAAGCCAAACAUUCAGAUAUGUUAACUUUAUAUUUACUAGAUUGAGUUACACAAGCUAUCCUUUCUUCUCAUCUUUUAAAUUAAAAAUGCAAAUUUUUGGUUAAUUAGUCAGCAAUCUAAUCUUGCAAUUAAAAAUUUAGAAUCAACAGAAUAUGGCUAGCACAGCUUGAUGAAUCCUCUUCUCUGCAGACUGCUUGAAGACGGUGAGCCUGAUGUGACGACGGAGGUAGCAUGGGUACUUUAUAAGAAGUUCAUGAACUUGUCUUGGACAUGGAAGGAAAUCUGGCUGCAUAAAAUGAUAUUUAGUUUGGAUUUUUUUAGCAAGUCUACGGAGUUCAUUAGAAUAGUGAACAAGUGUUGUGGGAGGUUAGUAGUACAGAGUUCUGGGGGACAGAAUUAUUAAAGCAAAACUUAAAAUUUUACCCACUCUGGACCAUAAGCUUAUUGCAAUCAAGUAUCAACAUACAAAAAACAUGCACAAGAAAAUGUGAAUGACAUGGAUAAAAUAAUAGCAUCUUUAAACAAUGAAGAGAUCAUCCAAUCCACAAAAGGAGAGUAGCAUUUUCCUCAACAACAACAAAAAAAAACUUUCAUACUAUAACCAUACUUUUAUCAAACGGUGAGAAAAACAAGUGGUAGGUGAAUCGGGUAGGUGAAUUGGGGGUUAUGCAAAAAAUCUUAUUUUCACGGAGAAAAGCAUUCCAACACCAAAGCUUUCACUAUCUUUACCACACACUUCAAGUUCUCUGAUCCGCUCUGCAUUUUUUGUCACAGUACAAAAAUACAUCGUUUAGUCCUCAUCUUUUAAGUAAGUACUAUGCUUAAAAUUCAUUCUCAUUACAAUAAACACAAAUGGAGAAAAUGGAUUAAUCGAAGUAUCCUGCACCCUAAUUUUCUUAGAACCCUAAUUUUCGCUCUCCGCGCGAUUGUGCAAGAUAAACCUCUUUUGGACCAAAAUGAUUUAUAGGAUUACAUGUCAGAUAUCAGUGUUUUAAUUUUAAUUUCUUGUUUUUGUCAUGUCGGCAUUGACUAAAAUCGUUAGUUCCCUUUUAACGGGAGGAUGUGAAUCAGAAAAAUUCGAAAAUUUAAAGAUCACGUUAUUGGGAGAAAAAAAGAAAUAGGGGCCUGAAUAAUAUAUAAGCAGUUCAAGGACGUCUGAAUUUAUGAUCCCAUCUAUAAACAGCAGUAGGAAUAAAGGCUUUUGUCUUAAAGUUGUUAUCUUGUACUAUGUCAUGAUGAUCACGCCCCUUGUUGUUUCUAUACCAAUCUAUGCUUAAGUUUUGUUGUUUCAAUUUGUUUAUCUCGUUCAACUAAGAACAAAUUAUGAAAGCGGAGCUAAUAAUUAUCCCCGCUCCGGGGGCUGGUCACCUGCUAUCCAUGGUUGAGCUCGCCAAGCUCAUUGCUAGUCGAGAUGAGCGAAUUUCUGUGAGCGUCCUGAUAAUCAGGCUCCCUUUUGAGUCCAGCAUCGAUGGUUUCGACAAAGAUGCUCCUGGAAACUUAGCCUUUCUAGA